GAUGAACGCUGGCGGCGUGCCUAAUACAUGCAAGUCGAGCGAACGGACGAGAAGCUUGCUUCUCUGAUGUUAGCGGCGGACGGGUGAGUAACACGUGGAUAACCUACCUAUAAGACUGGGAUAACUUCGGGAAACCGGAGCUAAUACCGGAUAAUAUUUUGAACCGCAUGGUUCAAAAGUGAAAGACGGUCUUGCUGUCACUUAUAGAUGGAUCCGCGCUGCAUUAGCUAGUUGGUAAGGUAACGGCUUACCAAGGCAACGAUGCAUAGCCGACCUGAGAGGGUGAUCGGCCACACUGGAACUGAGACACGGUCCAGACUCCUACGGGAGGCAGCAGUAGGGAAUCUUCCGCAAUGGGCGAAAGCCUGACGGAGCAACGCCGCGUGAGUGAUGAAGGUCUUCGGAUCGUAAAACUCUGUUAUUAGGGAAGAACAUAUGUGUAAGUAACUGUGCACAUCUUGACGGUACCUAAUCAGAAAGCCACGGCUAACUACGUGCCAGCAGCCGCGGUAAUACGUAGGUGGCAAGCGUUAUCCGGAAUUAUUGGGCGUAAAGCGCGCGUAGGCGGCUUUUUAAGUCUGAUGUGAAAGCCCACGGCUCAACCGUGGAGGGUCAUUGGAAACUGGAAAACUUGAGUGCAGAAGAGGAAAGUGGAAUUCCAUGUGUAGCGGUGAAAUGCGCAGAGAUAUGGAGGAGCACCAGUGGCGAAGGCGACUUUCUGGUCUGUAACUGACGCUGAUGUGCGAAAGCGUGGGGAUCAAACAGGAUUAGAUACCCUGGUAGUCCACGCCGUAAACGAUGAGUGCUAAGUGUUAGGGGGUUUCCGCCCCUUAGUGCUGCAGCUAACGCAUUAAGCACUCCGCCUGGGGAGUACGACCGCAAGGUUGAAACUCAAAGGAAUUGACGGGGACCCGCACAAGCGGUGGAGCAUGUGGUUUAAUUCGAAGCAACGCGAAGAACCUUACCAAAUCUUGACAUCCUUUGACAACUCUAGAGAUAGAGCCUUCCCCUUCGGGGGACAAAGUGACAGGUGGUGCAUGGUUGUCGUCAGCUCGUGUCGUGAGAUGUUGGGUUAAGUCCCGCAACGAGCGCAACCCUUAAGCUUAGUUGCCAUCAUUAAGUUGGGCACUCUAAGUUGACUGCCGGUGACAAACCGGAGGAAGGUGGGGAUGACGUCAAAUCAUCAUGCCCCUUAUGAUUUGGGCUACACACGUGCUACAAUGGACAAUACAAAGGGCAGCGAAACCGCGAGGUCAAGCAAAUCCCAUAAAGUUGUUCUCAGUUCGGAUUGUAGUCUGCAACUCGACUACAUGAAGCUGGAAUCGCUAGUAAUCGUAGAUCAGCAUGCUACGGUGAAUACGUUCCCGGGUCU
rnacentral:rRNA from 1 species